rnacentral:rRNA from 1 species
CGGGAAAAGCUCAAAUUUAAAAUCUAACAGUUUCACUGUUCGAGUUGUAAUCUGGAGAAGCAUUUUCCGUGUUGGACCGUGUACAAGUCUCUUGGAAUAGAGCGUCAUAGAGGGUGAAAAUCCCGUCCAUGACACGGACUACCGAUACUUUGUGAUAUGCUCUCGAA